rnacentral:rRNA from 1 species
AACGAACGCUGGCGGCAUGCCUAACACAUGCAAGUCGAACGAAGGCUUCGGCCUUAGUGGCGCACGGGUGCGUAACGCGUGGGAAUCUGCCCCUCGGUUCGGAAUAACAGUUAGAAAUGACUGCUAAUACCGGAUGAUGACUUCGGUCCAAAGAUUUAUCGCCGAGGGAUGAGCCCGCGUAGGAUUAGGUAGUUGGUGGGGUAAAGGCCUACCAAGCCGACGAUCCUUAGCUGGUCUGAGAGGAUGAUCAGCCACACUGGGACUGAGACACGGCCCAGACUCCUACGGGAGGCAGCAGUGGGGAAUAUUGGACAAUGGGCGCAAGCCUGAUCCAGCAAUGCCGCGUGAGUGAUGAAGGCCUUAGGGUUGUAAAGCUCUUUUACCCGGGAUGAUAAUGACAGUACCGGGAGAAUAAGCUCCGGCUAACUCCGUGCCAGCCGCCGCGGUAAUAC